UCGGUUGACACACACCAAGCCAAAUACACAGCUUAAAACUAAACUGUGUCCAUGGCCUCCCCUCGCUAUCUAUCUGCCCGCUCCAAAGCACGCCGUCACCUUCGUUUACGGCGGGUGCACGAGCUAGCUUCGAACGAGUCUCCGAGGAUCAAGCUAGCUACUGUACUCUGUAGUUCACAGCCAUCUCAGGUGCGGAACCCCUCGGAGAGAGAGUUUGGAUAUAUUAUUGGCGAAUAUAAUGGUGAUUGCGUCGGCACGUCUGCUCGCUUGAUCGGGAACAUCAUCGGCAACUCGUAAUGCCUGCACCACUGCAGUCUACAUCUCAGCAAGGUUUUGUCGACAUGGGAUGGAUAGGCGCUUGCGCACUUGCUACACAGAGGACAUGAUGGGACGGAAGAAUUGCGCAGCGUCGUGGCGUUUAAUUUCGUCGUCGAGGAAGCUGCACAGCUGGUAGUAUGUGAUCCAGUCCGGGACUCUAUGGAGAAAGGGGAAAAAAAAGAGACAGCUUAUUUUCAUCAUGGAUAAAAUACCCGACAAUUUGCUACACAAGGGGUUCUAUUGAUGCAUUAAUAUUUCAACUUGUUAAGACAGAUGAUCAAUUCAUGUAUUGAAGGUAAUGCUAACAUUAUGCUGGUCACCUGCAGAAAGAAAGAGAUGCCUCAAUAAAAGUCAAUUUGUUCGAGAUGAGAUAAAGAAAAGAGUUUAGAGACGACUCAAAAAAUUUCGAAAGGUUUUUCUUUUGAUAUAACGAUAUAUACAGGUACGUCCGCCCUCCGUUGUAUCUAAUUGUAAGUCUGCCUUUCCCUUUUUCUGAAAUCCUCCAUUCUAAAUUAUAAAACGAUUUAAUCUUUCUAGAUAUGUAGCUUUUGCUUUGUACUUAGAUGUACACACUAUAUCAAUCUAGUUAACUAUAUACUAGUAAAAAUAAUAUAUAGAAAAGUUAAUUUUCUACGAAGGAAAUACGAAAUUACUACUACCAGCUCUGUAUGAAAAAAUUGACACUCUAGAUUUGUAUUGGAAAAAGAUGCUAAUUUUCUAUUGCACGAAAAAAAGUUCUGUGGUCGAUAUCACGGGGAUCCCAUGAUUCCAAUCGGGUGGCUAAACUCUAUGACAAUGAUUCGUAGGUCUUGGUCGAGAAAUUCUAACAUAUCUACCUACUUUAUUUUGUUAAAAAAAAUUAAAAGUACAUACACCUUUUACAUAUAAAAUCCAACGUCUAGGGUGCAAAAGAAUGUUUACAGCUAGCUGGAUCUUUCGAAAAAAUAUUACUGUAUUAUAGUAGCUAAUAGUAACCUAGCCUUCUCUAAAUAUUAAGCACUAGAGUUUUAACUUAAAAUGUGGAUUGAUAAAUACACUAACAUGUACAACUUCAAACUAAUCUUAUUAAAUUAGUGUAUGAUCAUAAACUAAUUAGGCUUAAAAAGAAUCGUCUGACAAAUUAUUCUCUUGUUGUGUUUUUAGUUUUAUAAAUAAUCUAAAUAUAAUACUUUAUUACAUGUGUCCAAAUAUUCGGUGUGAUAGGAAAUAAAGUUUAAUAGAAGGAACCAAACAGGGCCUCAGUAAUAAAGACUACAUUCUAGGACACAUAGUCAUUAUUUUUUUUAAUAAAAUAAAAACGAGUUUUGAAUAAAAAGGUAUUAAGCAUAUGAGCUUAACUUAACAUGAAGAUAAAGGUUUGUAAGUCAAAAUUUAGAUUCAUGAUUAGGGAUGAAAACGAAAAUGAUAAUCUCAGAUUUUCGAAAAUCAUUUUUGAGUUUUUUUUCGACUGUUAGGUCUAAAUGAAAAUGAUAACGGUAACCGAAAAAACAAAAACGAUAAUAAUAAUAAUACUAAAAAACAAAAGCGAAAAUGAUUUUGCCUUCUUCUGAUCGUUUUCGAAGAUUUCCGUAUUUAACUAGUAAUUUACCAUCGAUAUUUACCAAUUCAAAGAUCUUUAAUUAAUGACAUGACUGAUAUUCUACAACUUCUAAGAGGAACUCUAAUAAUUCAUGUGUUGAUCACUAUGCUAUGUCGAGUUAACUUGGAACAUGAUUAUUUAUAUUGUGUCUUUGUCAAGAAUUGUUGUACUGUUGCGUGGUUUGCUACUGUUUGAGACCUAAGAUGAUGUGAUGUGUGUGGUUUCAGCUUGUGAUCUUGUCAAUUAUGGCUUUAUUUAUCAUUAUCAUGUGAGAUAGGUUGAGUUAUAUAGAUCUUUUUAUGUUCGA